rnacentral:rRNA from 1 species
GCAGCAGCCGCGGUAAUACAGAGGGUGCAAGCGUUAUCCGGAUUUAUUGGGCGUAAAGCGUGUGUAGGCGGUUUACUAAGUCUAAGAUUAAAGCCCGAGGCUUAACCUCGGUUCGUUUUAGAUACUGGUAGACUUGAGUAUGGUAGAGGCAAAUGGAAUUUCUAGUGUAGCGGUGAAAUGCGUAGAUAUUAGAAGGAACAUCAGUGGCGAAGGCGAUUUGCUGGGCCAUCACUGACGCUGAGACACGAAAGCGUGGGGAGCAAAUAGGAUUAGAUACCCUAGUAGUCCACGCUGUAAACGAUGAGCACUAAGUGUCGGGUAACCGGUGCUGAAGUUAACACAUUAAGUGCUCCGCCUGAGUAGUACGGUCGCAAGACUGAAACUUAAAGGAAUUGGCGGGGGAC